UAGUGUAGAGGUGAAUUCGUAGAUAUUAGAAAGAAUACCAAUUGCGAAGGCAGCUUUCUGGAUCAUUACUGACACUGAGGAACGAAAGCAUGGGUAGCGAAGAGGAUUAGAUACCCUCGUAGUCCAUGCCGUAAACGAUGUGUGUUAGACGUUGGAAAUUUAUUUUCAGUGUCGCAGGGAAACCGAUAAACACACCGCCUGGGGAGUACGACCGCAAGGUUAAAACUCAAAUGAAUUGACGGGGACCCGCACAAGUAGUGGAGCAUGUGGUUUAAUUCGAAGAUACGCGCAGAACCUUACCAACACUUGACAUGUUCGUCGCGACUCUAAGAGAUUAGAGUUUUCGGUUCGGCCGGACGAAACACAGGUGCUGCAUGGCUGUCGUCAGCUCGUGUCGUGAGAUGUUGGGUUAAGUCCCGCAACGAGCGCAACCCUCACUUUUAGUUGCCAUCAUUAAGUUGGGCACUCUGAAAGAACUGCCAGUGAUAAGCUGGAGGAAGGUGGGGAUGACGUCAAGUCCUCAUGGCCCUUACGUGUUGGGCUACACACGUGCUACAAUGGUAUCUACAACAGGAAGCAAAACUGCGAAGUUAAGCAAAUCCCUAAAAGAUACCUCAGUUCGGAUUGCACUCUGCAACUCGAGUGCAUGAAGCUGGAAUUACUAGUAAUCGUGGAUCAGCGUGCCACGGUGAAUGCGUUCCCGGGUCUUGUACACACCGCCCGUCACACCAUGGGAGUUGGUUCUACCUUAAGGCAAGGUUUUAAACCCUUGACCACGGUAUAGUCAGCGACUGGGGGUGAAGUCGUAACAAGGUAGCCGUAGGGGAACCUGCGGCUG
rnacentral:rRNA from 1 species